GACGAACGCUGGCGGCGUGCCUAACACAUGCAAGUGGAGCGACGAACCAGGCUUCGGCCUGGGGCAAAGCCGCGAACGGGUGAGUAACACGUGGGUAACCUGCCCCGAUGAUUGGGACAACCCGAGGAAACUCGGGCUAAUACCGAAUGUGCCCUCCGACCGCAAGGUCACUGGGGAAAGGAAGCUUCGGCCUCCGCAUCGGGAUGGGCCCGCGGCCCAUUAGCUUGUUGGUGAGGUAACGGCUCACCAAGGCGACGAUGGGUAGUGGUCUGAGAGGACGAUCAGCCACACUGGGACUGAGACACGGCCCAGACUCCUACGGGAGGCAGCAGUGGGGAAUCUUGCGCAAUGCGCGAAAGCGUGACGCAGCAACGCCGCGUGGGGAAGACGGCCU
rnacentral:rRNA from 1 species